rnacentral:lncRNA from 1 species
CAAGUGUUUUAGUGUUUGGUGCAUGCUUCAAAAACCCAUUAGCAGAAACGCUAUCUAUACUUUUACACAGUAGAAUAUCAGUGCAUUAGUCUCAGAGCAGUUGUAGAGGACAGUACUUAAUAUUGAAUUUUUUGUGCCCUUAAACUUGAAUUAAUGAUGAUAACUGUUGUGGCUUUGCAUUUUACAGUACAACUCUGAAAAUACUGCACAAACACUUAAAUAUCCUUUCCUUGUGAUUGUAGCAUCUGUCUUGGCAAGUGGUGUGCAUUAUAGAUAUAUCAUAGCUGUAUUGAAAGUACAUGUUGCACAAAAAAAGAACUCAUUAAAAACAAAUAGUUUAUUAAUUAUAGAUGCAUGUUCUUUUUGAGAAUGGAAAUUGCUCUGGAAGCACCUUUCAAAGUAGUUCAAGCAACAAGCCCUCUUGUUUAUGCAUCCCAUCCAUAUUUUUGAAGGAAAAAAAUUCAAGACAGUAUAGGGGCUUUAGCUGUAAUAACAUUGUUAUAUAUUUAAUGCUUUCAAAUAACAAAGUGUUUCAAAUCCAGUUUUGGCAUGCUGCUUAAGGAGCUCUCCAUUCUCUGCCUAUAUAUAGCUUUGGCAUCAUAAAUUCACCACUGCAAGUUAGAAUAGCUUCUUCAAAGCAGUGUGUUUGUAUACAUAAGAAAAAGGUGGUGCAUGGAGAUCUGAGGAGACAUUCUGAAAACCGAGGUAAAGUUUUUUAACUACACAGAGUGGAGGUGGUGAUAAUUCAGAAAUAUGACUUGGGGGAUUUAUAAAGUACGUUUUCCAGGUAUAAGGUAACACUAAUAAACAAUGAUUAGCAGAAUGCUGAAGAUACUGAGUCCAUUCAAUCUGCAUGAGCAAUCCUUGGAAACCUAAGAAACGGGUAAAAUUAGGGCUGCUCUAAAAGUGCUCUAAAUGCCAGAUUUUCUCUUAGGUAAAUGGUCCACUCACAGUCAGGCAGACUAGAUAUUCAACAUUUGCUACUGCUUGCUCUGAUUAACUGUAAUCAUCCGACUCUUGAUUUAUGUUACUUUGAAUGUAGCUUCUUUUGUUGUCUCUUGAUGUCUCUUGGGCUCUCAGUUGCCACCUCUAGUGCUACCGUUCAAAUUCUUCUCUCAUGAUUUCCAGUGCAGCCUUUUCUGGUUUUAAAGCUUUUGCACUUUGAGUUCUCUGUGACGCAAGGUGCCCCUUCACUGUUCUCCCAGUGACCUGAAAGCUGUGUUACCAUCCAGAGGGGCCUUGGUGGGCUGGAGAGUUGGGCUAACAAGGACGUUACAAAACUCAAGUACAAGAGACAUCUGGACAUACUGGGAAGUGUUGAAUGCAGGACGCUCAGGGUGAUGAGGGGAUAGGAGCUCCUCUCCUAUGAGAAGAGGCUGAGAACUGAGGCUGUUUAGCCUGGAGGAGGCUCAGCAUUUGCUGUGAGCCUAACAGAGUACUGGCACAGAGGUCACCCUGAGAGAUUGUGGAGUUUCUUUCCUUAGAGAUCUUUGAAAGGUGCCUGGGCACAUGGCCCUGGGCAACCUGCUGGAUGUAGCCCUGGUUGAGCAGGGGUUGAGGAGGUUGGACCAGGUGGCCUCCAGAGAUCCCUUCCAACCUCAGACAUUCUGAGAUUCUGUGAGUCUCUUUUCCCAUUUGUGUUUCAGGUUGUGAUUUGAACUCUUCCAUUAUUCCCAUGGCAUCAGCUCUAUCUUCCUGAUAUGAUUGUAGGGAAAAAAAAUAAAAUAGGAUCUAAGUAACCAAUUGGGGGGGGGGGGGGGGGGGGGGAGUCUAAGUAAGCUUUUUUUUUUUUUUAAUAUUUCAAGCUACAUUUCAUUUUUUUCUUAACUAAUGUAUGUGAGAAACUAUUUUGAUGCAUGAGGUCUGAUCCUAGGUUUCUAUGUGAACAGUGACCAACUUUUAUUGCAGAAUGAUGCAAACAUUUAUAAAACGGUCCUUUUGAUGGACAGUGGAAAGCACAGGCAGCCUCCUCUAAGCUGAACCAGAACUGAAACAAGACUGUUCAGCUUUUGGCUAUGGUGUUUUGCUGUCAUCUCUCUACUUUUCAUUUCUGUUCUCUUUGCUGUUCUCUCUUUCUUGAAGGCAAAGGUAUUUUACCAGAGCCAUCUGUAGUUAUAUGCUUGAUCACUGUGUGAUCAUACAGCCCAUAUUUCUGGGCAAAACACUGUGGUAGAUACUGCAAUUAAUUAGCCACUAGAGUGCUUUGUUACUUUGGCAGCUGGUGGGGUCAGUUAGUGAUGGCAUUGCUCUAGGCUGGGAGGGAAGUGAGCAAAGACGUUAUUCCAGUAAGUGCCUUGCCUCCUGUUUGUAGCUUGGCCCAUUGCAUCUUGCCAGACACACAGGCUCCUCCAAGUACUUUCACAAUCAUCUCUUGUCUCUUCAAUUACCACUUCCUCCUCCCCCUGCCUCUCUCUUCCGUUUGACCUUCUAGUAAUUCCUCUGGCGCUAGUUCAGAAUUGUGCAGUAGGCUAUACUACCCGGUCCAAUUAAAGAUGUAAGUAUGUGGCACAUGAGAAGUUACCUAACAAGCCUCUAAACUGCCCUUAAACGAGAGCCCGAUGUCUCAUUGAUCUUGCCUGACCCACUUUGAAUCCCAAAAUUUCAUAGGCUGCAGUUAACUGUCACAGCAAUUACAGGUUUUUGGAACUUCACUGUUGUUUUUUUGCUUUGUGCCGUCAGCCAGCAGUAGUAAGCUUGUAUGUCCAGAUUUAGAUAGGGGCUGGUUUCCUAGAUGCACACAUGGCACUUGGGUUUUAUUUUUAAUUCAUAGAGACCACUUAAUGUAAUGAUCAGCAAUCAAAGAAUAUGCAAUUAUCACUCUUGCAAACUUUCCUGUGCCUCAGUAAUUAAACCAACAAAUUAGUUAAAGGCUCCAAUGCGGAAGAAGAUUGGUAGACUGUGGUCAAGACACACAUUUACGGAUUUUCCCUUAAGCUGCUUUUCUUGAGGAAGCUUUGAUAAAGACCAUAUGAUAUCAAUUAUCAUUAACUCUGUGUGGUUUCUCUGCAUUUGGAGCUCUCAGACAUUAGUAGACAGGAGCCUUGUGUUAAGUCUUUAAUGUAUGGCUGGGUUUUUUUUUGCUGCAUAGCCUAUUCUCAUUUUGAUUUGUCAGCUGACAUUUGAAAGAGAAGAUUUAAGACAAUUUACAUGCAGACUGUGGCCUAUUGUGCUGAGUGACACUUUCUCCUCUGAUGUGAUUUGACAGAGUGCUGUUAUAACAGCAGCAAACAAACAAACAAAAACCCCAACCCUAUUUUAAAUACCAGAUUUAAAAGCAAACAUUUUAACUGUAUCUCAUGCUCAGUUACUGCCCAAAAAACUGAAGGAUGUGUUAAGGUGUCCCUGUCUGAGCUUAACAACAAAGUCAGCAUGACUUAAUAAACAGGCUUAAAUCGUCUCUUCAGAGAACACACUCAUAUAAAGUCCCUUAACAUCAAAGUCUCUCGUCUUGCUCUGUUCUGCAUUCCGUCAGUGUGAGCCUUUCUUCACAGACAGCAGAGGGGAUUCAGCAAACAUGUAUAUGUGAUUCAUUCUUAAGAUCUUCAAAUAUGUGGAUGAGUCACUGAUAAGUACAUGUAAGCUGUGCUGUCCAGAUUUAAAGUGCAGCAACCAGCACUGGAAAUUACAGGAUGUAGUUAGGAACAGAUGAGAGAGCCUGAAAACUCUUAAAUUGAGGAAGUACAUAUGAAAAUCUGUAGCAGGCUAAGGAGUUCAUUUGACUGGAAAAAAAAUAGUCUACAUUAAUUCAUUUCACUGGGAUUUACAGACAAGUUGAGGCCCAAUUGUUCACAGCUCUUCUUUGCCACGUUUUCAGCUGGGGUUUCUCAACAGUUUGGGGGAAAAGAACCACCCAGUUCUGAAAUGUCUCUGUUCUGUAGCUUUUUGGAACUGGAUUGGCAAUACUAGCUUGUAUUUCAGCUGAGCUUUAUGCCCACGUCUGAUCCAGAGGCUGCGAGCUGGAUGGUCAGGGGACUGUACUACUGAUGUAGAUAACCAGGAGGCAAAAAAUGAUUGCCUAGCAAUUUUUCUCUUGACCUUCUUUCAUAGAAUCAUAGAAUGGCCUGGGUUGAAAAGGACCACAAAGGCAAUCUAGUUUCAACCCCCAUGCCAUGGGCAGGGUUGCCAACCACUAGACCAGGCUGCCCAGAGUCAGAACCCUUGGGUUGCUUAUUUACUUAAUAUUCAAGGCCAGCACCAUUUCAGGGAGAAGGAAGGGAAGAGUCUGAGCACACCACAUGCUCUCAGGCAAUGUUCUUCAACUUGAAGAGUGAAGCAGCUCACAGUGCUUUACACCCUUCUGGGUGGAGAAAUCAACUUUUGACACCAAAGAGAAACAUGGAGACUUCAAUUUGAGAGAAUUUGACCGACAGCUACCUGAGGUUAUAAUGCACUGCUACUUAUCCUUCUGACUUAGUGCAUCAUCUUGAGUCAGUCUUAUGUUACUGUGCCUCGUGUCAUGUUUUCCUUUUCUUUUACCUAAAGCCUUCUUGGUUUUUUUUUCAUAGCUACCAUAGUCAGUGUGAAACAGUACAGCUGGUGGUUUCAGGUGUCCUAACAUAACAUUUGUAGAUGUUUUGCAGCUACUAAAUGUGCAACAAACCAGCCUGUUCUGCACCAGAAUUCCUGCUUGAUCUAAGUACACAGCAGGGCUCCACCUGUAUAGCAGGCUUGGAGUUGACGGUGUGAUUUUACACACUGAUUCAUCACAGGUUAUUUAGCUGGUUUGUUAAUAUAGUCAUAGCGUAAUAGGAAAAUUAUCUCCUGUUCGAUCACCGUUAACAGCCUGUUCUUGUAUCUGUCCAUGAGCAAAUGUCUUCAGGGACAGCAGUGGAAAAUUUCCCAUUGCUAUCAAGAAAUGUUGGGUGGGUUCCAGUUUUUUUCUCAGAAGCUUUCGGAACUUUGGGUUUAUGUUACAAUGAGGAGUAAUCAACAGCUUUUUAAAAUCCCAUCACCCGUUGUCUAGACAUCAUUUAAAAUAGCAAUGCUACUUAAUGCUUACUCUUUCAACAUUUUCAGUCCAUCUUUUCCCCAGUCACUUCUUUAUAAUUAUUCUCAGCAUCUUAAUGUUCACCUUGGGAAUUUUCAUUUUAACUUUAUGUGCCCAAUGUUCUUGCUUGGAUGAUAGAAUCAUAGAAUGUCUUGGUUUGGAAGUGACCCCAAGGAUCAUCAAGUUCCAACACCCUUACCCUGGUCAGGGAUUAGACAUGCUUACUCUGUACUUCUAAUUUCUGAGGCUUUCUCAACUAUAAGUAAGGAGAGCAAAGUCUUUUGCUGCCUGUUUUUCCAUAUCAGGUCUUACGCUACAUUAAAUAGAAAUGCAGAUCUUGUGAGAAUCCCUUAUUUCCUUUUCAAAAUUCAAAUUGUCGUAGUAUCCUCUUACCCUGAUGCAAGGUAAGCCUGUGACACGCAGUGUGAACGUCAUGGAUUACUCCUUGCAAUUCAUGGAUUACCUCCUUUAGCAAGCCCUCGUAUCACUGGACAAUGUACCCUAGCUUUUUGAUUUAAUUGUUGCUAAUUCCAAAGUUCUGACUUUUUACAUUAAAUUUUACAUUUUAGUAUUCACACGAGGCACAUAAUAGGCUCCUAUUAUGUGCCUCAUGUGCUUAAUACAAGAUUUUCAUCCCACAGAGAGGGUGGAAUUCCAAAAUGAUGCUAACUCAAGAUGGGAUUAAGAUGAGUAUUGGAUCCCAGGAUGCCUUCACUGAGAGAAGGUCCUUUCACAGGAAGACUGAUAGGCUAUACUGCACUAGAAGAAACUGAGAGAAGUAGGGAGAAGGCAAAGAAACAUCUACCAGCCUCUUGAAAAGUGUUCCAUCAAACAAGAACUGAGGUAAGCAGCUCAGAAGAAAAUCCAGGCAGGAGAUAUGAAAACUUCCACUGGCAAUCUGAGAGCAAGACAGUUGGGAAUGCAUGCCUGUGUUUAACAGAGGCUUGCCCCUGGCUUAAACACAGUCCUUGCUUAACCAAAUCUAGCUAAGAAAAGCUUGCAGUGCUCAAGACGUGCAAUUUCUGAGCAUGGUUAGUGUUGUAGUGAGAGUGACCAAAGAGGCAGAUGUUUAAAUACAUCACAACAACAGAAAUGCUGUACUGUCAUUGAGUAGUUUUUCUGUUGAAAAGGUUUUGAAUUUAUAGGAAUUAACUAUUUCCCAUCAAGACCAUUCAUGGAUUACCCCAGUCUUUCCAUUUUUGAUAGCAGACUAAGCUAUGAAAAAAGUUUUGCAUCAGUCUAUCUCUGUGACUGAGGCGGCAAUGUUUAGUCAGGUUAGGAAUUAAUUAUAUUUACUGGGGUACAUUUUGACCAUUGCUUAUAUUACUGCAUCUUAUCAAUAUCCCUCAGCAAAGCAGGCUGGAAUUGCACUCUGCUUACACUUUGUCUAGGCUUUUACCAUUUACACAUAUCUAUCCCUAGGCUCGAUAUUAUGCAUAGGUGGUAAGGCCUUCAAAGCAAGCCCAGUCUGCUCAGUUUAGGCAAUGAAGGUCAAAUAGGUUACAAAAAUGCAUAAUAAUCUCAUCGUCUCUGCUCCUUAAGCUAGAACCCUUUGUGAUAUAGCCUUCAAUGUCCUUUGCUCAGUUUUCAGGUUUUUACCAAGCAACACUGAAAAGAAUAGGGGAGUAAGCUUUCACUGCCUUACUGUGUGACCGUGUGUUAGGACAGAGUCAUGACAAGCAAUUUGAUUGUAUUUCACUGCACGUAGAGCUCUACCCAACCUGCACUCUGGAAACCUAAAAACAAACAAACAAAAAUCCACCAACACCAGCCUUAAAUAAAGCUUUGUUUUUUUUUUUAAAGAAAUUAUAAGAAAAAUUACAGAGAGGGUUCAUUGCCUGAUAACGUGAUCAACAUCUGAAUAAGACCUAGGCAAAAAGUCUCCAGUAGAGGGAGUGACCAAAUUAAAAAUCUCAUCCAAACUACUCUGAAUUAUAUGUUGCUGGAAAGUGUUUUCAUUCCUCAGGUGUGAGCAGCCAGAGAAGCAGGGAACUAUCUUAACUAGCACUGUGUUUUAUGGAGCAUCAUAUGUGACUCUGACAGUUGCACGAGUCUGCAUGAGAGCCAAUGCAAUUUGAAUUUAAUAUAUAUAGAUUUGUUUAUAUAUACACGCAACUAUAUUUUAAAGUAUGUGAACAGAAUUAAGAAGAGCCUUGCUUUCUGCAUUUCCUGCACUGUGGCCGCAGUCACUCGUGUUUACUGUGCAUAAUGCAGCAUUCAGUAUGUCACAUACGCCCAUCCAUGGCAUUAAUUACCCUACUUUCCCAAUUAAAAGAAAUAAAAAAAAUGUUGUAUUUGACCCUCAAAGCCACAGCUGAGCUGAAAUUUAAAUAUAGAUCCUUCUAGCACUAGAAAAAUACCCUGAUUAAUCAAAAUUAUUAAAAAUGUAUUUAGCUUUUAGAUAACACCGCCAGGUAGCGCCUAAGCCACAGGUAAUUACAUCACUGAGGUACCUGCUUCUUUCCCUGGUCGUUUUUCUGAUCUGACCUUUUCACACUCUUUCCGUUGCAGUCUCCCAAGCAUACGUACAUAGAAAUGACUGGCCUCUCCAAAGGCAGCUCAGAGCCCUAACGAGGGUAGUGAUGAUACACUUUCUCAGUGUACUUUGAGACACGAAGGAAGGAAUGUGUAUUUUUGCAUUUAAAAUUUUAUUCUGUUUUGCUUUGUACGAAGUCUCUUUGCAUAUUGCAUGAGUACUUUCAACUGAGAUCUUUGGGUUGCAAUCCAUCAGAUAGCGGAGAUGCAGUUUCAGAAGCCUCUCCAUAGAGGCUCACUGAACAGCAGUUCAGAAGGUGCAGUAUCUAGCAUAUAUAAGUAUAUAUAAUGUAACUAAAGGAUAUGUAAGUUAUUGUAUAUAUUCUAUAUAAUAAUACAUAGAAUAUCCUAGUAUAAAAGUGACAUCUUUUCAAAUAUUUGAUUAGGAAAGCAGUGUCUGGGUACGUUGGGGAAAUGGUGCAUUUGAGAGAGGAAUAACGAGGGUGCGGGGAAGGAGAAAGACUCCUGUCCAUCAGAGAACUGACAGCACUUAGUUAAAAUAUAUUUUUGAUAGACAACAACUUCACCCCUUACCUUUGUGCUUUCCUGCAGCUUUUGAAUGUAGCUUUAUUUUUCCUUUUCGUACCCAAGUUGAACUAUGUGUAAAGUAGUAGUCCCAUUUCGGGUGAAUUUUUAAGUUCUAUAAACUUCGUAAUUGUAGCACACAAACACUUUUUCCCAAAGACAAACAAUGUAGUAUCCUCUAGGGAAAACAAGAGGUCUCCAAGUUUAGAAAACAGGCUGGAGUGAUCAUUAGUGAAGCACAAUUUCAUGGCAGGAAGUCGGCUUGGAUCCCGUCUAUGUAUCCCAGACAUUUUAUGGUCUGGAUACAGAAAGCUCAUAUGGUGAAUGUUGGGGUUUUUAACAGCCAUAUUUUGGGCCCAUAAAAUAACCAACUACAACAGUUAAUUUUCACCCACACACCCAAAUUGCUAGUUGGUAUCACAAUUUCAGUCCCCUGACACCCCUUACACAAACAUACACUAUCACCACCAAAAAAAGUAAAACUAGGAGUGUAGUCUUGAGGGAUUGCAAUGGGUGUUUAAAAAAAACAUGCACACACACACACACACCAUACACACAAAAACGAGCAGCGGAUGACUGAUUAUACCUUCCAGCAAGUCACAGGAGGAAACAGUUUACAGAAUGCGUUGCCUCACAGCUCUGCCAUCUCUCCAUCACCUCCCUGUCCUUUUCCUUUCUUUUCUGGUCUGAUCUCUGUUGUCCUCCUUUCAUAAGCUGUUGUAGCCCAGAGCAGAAUCAGCAGCUUCCAAGAGUAUCAGCAACUUUAAAAUUUCCUUUAACUCUUUCCAAAAUGGAUCCAUGUGUUUAAGCAGGAAAUGCAACAAAUAGGUUACUACUGUGUUGUUUUGUGUUGUGAGAAAAUGUGAGCAGGCAGCUGGGUUAUCAUCUCCUCAUCCUAACAAGCUCUACUUAAAAUAUGCCUCAGACAAAAGAGAAAUGGUGAUUCUCUAGUUUAUCAGAAAGUGAACAGCACGAGCAAUCAAAGUUAUGAAACACACUGCAAGCUUGCUGGCCUCUCAGUUCAGUAGGAAUGAAAAGGGGAUGAACACUUUAAGAUAGAGAUUUAUGAUUUCGAAAAGCUCGUUUAGUGUAAGUUUAUUAUCAACAGAGAUGUCAGUUACUGUAUAAAUACCUAUCUUGAACUAGGCCCCUCUCGUUAGGAAGAUGUGAGUGAUGCGUGGAGAAUGUCAUCUCAUCAGGGAGAGAGGUAUUGUUUGAUUAAUUGCAUCUGGCUACUCAAUAACUUAAACUGGGUUCAAAUUAAAAUGGAGUGAUUUUUGAGUGCACAUCUAGGCAGCUUUUAUAAGAUGUAUGAAACGUUGAGCUAAGAAUAGAGAGUGAGGAUACUGGCUCUGCAGGUUCUAAAACAGGGAAUGUGUGCAAUAGCCUUGAAGUGGGCAGGUUUAUAGACCAGUCCUGUAUUUGCAGAGUGAGUUAUGUAGAUUUAAGAGGCCCUUUCUGUUACAUUUUCUUAGGUCUUGAACACUUCAUAUGGGAAAAUCAUAUCAAGCGUAGAAACAGUUCAAAGAAUUCUAGGGCAGUGGAAAUCUAGAUGUAAAACACUGAUUUUAAAAUGACCAAGACACUCCAGCCAUGCAUGUCACCUUCCUGUCUGCCUCAUUGAAUUAAUCUCGACUGAACAAGCUACAUGGGCUGUAUGUAACACACUGCAUCUCCUUUUACUAUAUUUAGACUGGUCAUCUUCUUCCACUCAGCUAAGCCAGAGGGGAGCUCAGCACGCAUCUUGUAAACACAGUGCCUUAACUGUCUACAUGGGAGAGGUGGUGUUUUUCCUUAAGCUGCUUCCCAGAUAGUUCCUUAAAUUGCUUUCAUAGCGUUGUUUCGUAUUUUCUGAGCAAAAGGAAGACUGCUUCCUGAAGGCUUCCCUUGGCAGAGAAACUGUGAGUGAUGCAGUGCUCCUCUUUAUCUCUCCCUGCUGGAAGAUAUUUCCUCCUGUUGAAGGUCUCGAAUCAUGUUUCCAUGGUGGGACUUGCCUGUGCCACACACUUCAGCACUCAGAGCUCAAUGUGCCUUGCAAGGCUGGCUCAGCAGAUGACUUUCAGUGGUACUAUUUUAAAAGCAAUUAGUAGGGUUGUGCAGUUCACAGUAAUUCCGACGAAGUCUCAUGUGACAUCUCAAUGAUAAAAUGUGCAUUUUCCAAGCCACAGCAUUUUUCAGGUAGUUUUGGCUUCAAGAGAAUAAUAAGAGAACAGUUGUGUUCAAGAAAUGUUUAGGUGCUGUAUCAGGGUACAUGGUUUAGUGGAAAAUACUGGUGAUACGUGGAUGGUUGGACUGGAUGAUCUUAGAGGUCUUUUCCAACCUUGGUGAUGCUGUGAUUCUAUGAUAAUGGACAACCUGAGUUCAGACAGAAUACGAUGUAGCAUAUCCAGAUCUCGAAACGUGAUGUGUGGUACAAUGAAUGUUUCUACAGAUGCACGGAAAAUCAAGAUGUAAAUCCACUAUUCUAGCAUGUUCAGGAGAGUAGGGAAAAAUAGCUUUACACCCCACCCAUCAAGAUAUACGGGACAAAAUUAUUAUGUAAAAUGUGAUAACCUACAGUCUUACAUAUAUUCCCUUUAGGCCUGAGAUCCAAGUCUAAGGAACAGAAAAGCUGAAAUGUUGUCUAACCUAGAGCUCUUUUUUGUAAUGUGAUAUAUAAUAGCAGGUUUCAACUUUAAAUACGUAACAAUAGCAACAACACUGCUGAACUAGCUGUUUACACCAUUGUGGAAAACAGAAAACUUCUGCCAUUUAUCACUCAGCUUGAACUAAUAAUUUUACAUUUCAGAGUCUUGGUUUGGGGCGAGAUUUUUCUGGCUUUAAUUUUCAAAGACUUCAUUUUAUUUCUGAGCACAGUGAUGCAAAAUGAGCCACACAGAAGUUAGCCAAUAUAUCACCACUAAAACUGUUUUCUAGAUAGCUCAUUUUCAUUUUCUGUUAAUCAAAUUACAGUGCUUAGUCUUAUUGUGUGGAUUGCAUGAUUGCAAGAGAAUUUAAAAGCAAACUUCAAUACUUGGAAAAUUCAUGGAAAUCCAAUGACAAACUUUCUGAGCUAAGCUCAGCAAGAGAAUGUUGAACGUGGGAGAGUGCAAUUUAACGUGGCACAGCUGGCAGCCUUAGUUUCAUGAUUCAUUUAAUAAUUACCACAGAGAAUUGAAAGUUUUAAUCUGCCUAUAAAGGGCACUUUCCCUUUUGAGGCAGAAUCAGUUAAUGCAACAAAGAGAGAUCUCAACAACAGUAGAGAACCUCAGAAAUUCUGGCUGAGGUCAGUGAGUACUACUGCCAUGCAGAAGGAAAAGCUUUGGAGUUGUGUUGCAUUCAGACUGAGAAUUCCUGCAAGCCUUGCAAGUUGCUAAUGGUUGCUAGUAGUUAGAAUCAUAGAAAGCUGGAGUUGGAAUAAUUUUUUAAAAAUUAUUCCUCCAGUGCAUCUUUGUUCUAAAUAUGGAGCAUUAAUCUAAACUUCAAGGGUGGUAAUCUGCCAUGAACUCUCUUCAAGUUGUCUUACAUGCUGGAGUAGUCUCAGCUAACGAAAGCAGUAUGCAUGCUUGCAUCAGCCUAACUGAAAAUAAUUUAGGUUCAAUGUCCAGCUGCUGCUUCUGUUUUGGUGUCUACAAAAUGGUAUUUACAAAUGGUUACUUGCAAAUUCAAAGUACUCUGCGGACAAUCCUGUGGACUACCUUGCUUACCAGUUCCAAAAUUUCCCUUAAUACUGUGCAAAAAAAUGGUAUUUGGAUUGAAACAAAUCAUUCAACCUUGCAGUGGUUUUAAAGUGUAAUCCUGUGUGUAAUCCAUGCAGUAAACUGAACGUAGCCUUAGAUUUUAGUUAGGUUUCUUUCUCUAGCAUCGGUGGUAUCAUAAUUAACACUCUGCUUAAGUAUCCAUUCCACCUGAUUGGAUUCAACUGGAGGAGUAAUUACAAUUAUUUUAAGCAACCAUGUUUUACCCCUUCAUAGACUGAGUUUGUAGGGUAAAAAGAAUAGUAAAUCCUGCUUCAAAAUUAAGCAUUCCAAGUUUGCUAUUGUUUGUCCCAGAGCUCCUUACACAAGUUUUUCUGCCAAAAUGAGAGCAAUCUGUUCUUUAAAAAAAUAGAAGAUUAAACUUCUUGGAGAAUACAUAAAAUAGAUUCACUCUGAUCAGAGUGAGCCUUUGCAGCUGUUUUAAUCCCUGAACUGCAAGAACCCUAGUAGUGUGCUGCACUUGAGGAAUGUGUUUCUAAACCCACUGACACCAAAUGCAGAGCGAGUCCACAGUGAGUCCUGCUUUGGACCUGGCAUGGGGACUUACUGCAAACAUGGAAGACAUGUGCUGUUCCAAAACAGUGUGAAGCUUUCUGGGUGGGAAACAGCAAGCAGCUUGUUUGCAACUUUUAGGUCAGGAGACUGGUGAGCUGUGGAGUGCCAAUAGAUGGGAGGGCAGCCCAGGGAAAGGCUUCUGCUAAAAUUGCUGGUUGUGCUUUAUUGAGGCCUUCAGCUCUGGGGACAGUCACAAACAGAGACUUAAAAGGAUGAUUUGAGGCCCUGACUCGGUAUGGCUGUUCCUGUAUUAUGUUUGGUGUGACAUGUAGCAGGUGUGAAUUUCCUGAGCUUCCUAAACCCUGUUCUGUAGAAGUUCGGCUGGCUGGGGAGAAACAACCAACCUAAGUAGAGCCCACUCACUCAGUGAUACUAUUUCUCUGUAGUACUUUAGAAACCCAUGUACAGAUAGUGCCAAAACUGAGGGGCGCAUUUUAGGUACUGGUGUGCGGAACCCCAUUUUUAUUAAUAUUAAAUGGAAAAGUUGUGACUCAGUGGGUUGAAUCAGGCAGCAACUUUUCCCUUGCUGCAGGUGAAUGACUAUAUCUGUCUCUCUUACCCUUUGGUUCCCAGUAAGUACCACAAGGAGCAUUUGGCUCCUUUUUGAGUGUAAAGCUCAAUCUAACAAAGUUUUAACAAAUAAUUUAUAAGGAGAAAUGAUGGAUCAUUCGAGCUUUUCUCCCCCCCUCUUCCUCACCCCUUUUCCCCUACUGCUCCUUCCUGCACAUCUCUGCACGUCUCCCAUGAAAACCAACCUGUUUUCUUUUGCUGGACAAUGGUUUGACCAGACAGGUUCCCUGUGUAGACAGUGCGCUGUGAAACUUCUUGUGGAGGCCUUUCCAUGGAGCUGGGAAUGGGACGAUGCUUCGGCAGUUUUGCUGACAAAUGCCUCAUAGCAAGUUAAGCACCGUGACCUGGGGGACUCACUAGCACGGGGUGCCUGCUGGUGGUUCCCUAGAUCCCUUGUGUGCAAGGGAAGGUCUGCAGAGCAGUGGGAAACAUUUUUUGAACUUUUCCCAGUAUGUAGGCUGUACCAGAUCAGAACCUUGAGAAUGAAAAACACUGAAGGGAAAAAAACGCUCCCUUUUUAUAGUCUACUGUCUCGUUGAAAGUGAUUUAUGAAAUGAAGCUUCCUGCCCACCCAGUGCACAGAACAAAUACAGACAGUGCUUUGAAAUAACUACAGUACUAUGCUAUUUUCAGUAAUAUUUAGCUCAGACUUAGCCAAGAAAGCCCACUAAGCAUAGCAGACAGACAUAAAAAGAAACUCUCUUUUUUGCAUUUUUGUGUGUGCAUGCAUCUAUUUUAAGUUUCACCAGUUGCAUAGCUGACUAUCAAUGUUGCAAAGUCCCAACUUGGGAAAAUGCUUUAAACCCACUUGUCAUUCAAGUAACAGCACUUGAGCACGCACCUAACUUUAAGUGCCUUAAUAAAUUUAAGCAUGUGCUUAAGUCGGAAUACUCUUAUCUCUCACAUUGACUUCAUUCGCUUCAAGCAGUGGAUAAUCUUGUGGUCCAGCCACUCUCAUGAUUUGAUUGUGUUUUGUGUGUGUGUAUUUAGGAAGUGCUUGUACCCUCUCAGUGACUAUGAGUUUUUAUACUGUCACAAAAUUACUACCCGUCUGCUGGCAUCAGGUCUACACUCAAGGAGGAAGCUCUAGCUGACGCUGUCUUGGCUCACAUCUGCUGCAUUUUCUUUACACUCAUUUCUUCCCUGUCUGCAAAUUGUGAGGUGUUACUUGUUUUCACACUUACAUUUAGGAAAAAAGAAGAUAAAAACAAGCCAACAAGGUAACUUAGAAGGUCUUUCAGGUAAAUUUAUCUUGCCUUUAGCAGUGGCUGUCCAGAGAAGAAUGGAAAAAUCAGAUUGAGCGCACAGUAUUACAUCUCCAAAAUAAUCUCCUCUUUUCCCUAGUGAUUUGAAGGUUGAAGGACUUCUUAAGCCAUCACUGUUAUUUUUGCACUGGAUAGCUUUUAUUUGAAAUCGUCUAAUGCUGUCUGAGGCUUGAUGUCUGGAUCCUCAGCGUGUAACUCGGUGUUUCUCAUAACUCUGGGAAAGUAGGGAUUCUGCCACUUGGGUUUUUACUCUGAGAUUUGUUGGAUAUGUUUGUUUUUCAGUUUCAAACUUCUCCAUCAUUAUAGUAUGAGGAUACUAUACACAUGAACCCAUGAAAUACCCACUGAGCUCAUCAGCUUACAUCAAAGCUUCCUUCCCCAUACUUCACUCCAUUUUCUAACUUUUCUGGUUCAAGCUGUCUUUGUUACUCUGACCAAGCAUGGGGAUCUAUCUCACUGAUGAAAGAGACAUCAGUGGUGCUAGUCUAUCUAGAAAUCUCAUAUUGAAAACACAGCAAGAAAGGUUUCUCUUCUUGGUGUUCCCACACUGUUAACACGUGGUUUUCUUAUUGUGGUUUACUUUAUAGAUCCAAACCAUGUGCUGUAUUAGGAAAUGCUAUGGAAGGUCCAUUUCUCAUGAUAGUUUAUCAGAUGAAGUGCUUUAGAACAUACAUAAAAAAUACAUCAAACAAAGUCAGUAUUUUAUUUCACUAUCUCAUUUUAAGAGAAUGGCAGGAAAAUGCCACUAAUGGUAGGACUUAGACCUCAUGUCUGUGCUGUCACGUAUGCAGAUAUACUCCUCUACCCAAGUAGAUUUCCAGAAGAACAUUAUGAAAGGACCUUUCACAAUGAGAAAUAACAUGCCUUUUUUGUUUAAUGAUAUAUUAAUCAGUUGCAUGAUAAACAGAUUAAAAAAAUGCUGAGACUCCACUAGAUAUGGAAAUAUAGUAGUUGUAUUUGAUUUAUAUCCUACCCAUAACAGUACAUAUCACUGUUUACUCUUUUAUCAUGAACUAAGGUAAUAUAUGUUUAAUUAAAAACCUAUUUGGGAUGUUUGUGUCUUACAUUCCUAAAGCCUGAAAUGGAUUGUCUUUUACCACCCUUACGAAACAGGAUAAAAAUUUGAAAAGCACUAGCUGUGUGCUCUACAGAACAUCCCAGGUUAAAAAGGGAUAUUUGGUUUUCAGCCCAGGAAUUAAUAAAAAUAGAUCCUUAUCAAAGACUAAGAUACUUGUUUGCAGACUUUCUGAUACAGCAUUACUCAGUCAGGCACACUUCUCCUUUUAUAAUAGCUGUUUUUCUUUCUUCUAAUUCAGGAAAGACUUCGAUCCAGCACUUUCUGUCAUGCAUUAGCAACUCUGAAAACAUGUUUACUUAAGUACAAAACCACAUUAGCUCAGCAUUACUGUACGCCUCAGACACACAUAAAUUACAAUAUAUUGUGGGGUAGGAACUUUGAUCAAGAAAAGCCCACACUGAAUUAACUUGGAGGUGGGGAGGAGGGUUGGAGCAUUAUAUGUUCCUUGUCCCUUUUUUUCCUCUUCCCUAUGAUUCUCACUGCCAGUCAGUCUUUCAGAUUGCUCACUGUUUCUGCACUGCAGACUACAAGAAAUAAAGCAGUAGCGAUAGCAGUCCUUGUCCUAGUCCUAGGUCCUAACCUUCACUAACAUCCAUUUCCAUACACAGAAUCUCAGCUGACACUCGGUAAGUUCUCCCUCAUGCUCCCCAGCAUUCUGCCUCUCACCCUGGGGUUCUGGAACAGAAAAUCAGCUAAUUCAGAGCCAUAACAACGAUUAUAGGUAGUGUAGCUGCCAUUAAUUAUUCUUAUUUACCUGAACCAAGUAGCAGAUAAGAUAAAGGACUUAAAUGGUGCUUUAUGUUUAAGUGUCAUGACAAUUUAUGGCUGUCAUAUUGUUAUGCACAUGUUAGGAACAAGCAAAAGGAAGUAGGGAAUGUAAGAAGGACAUCUGUAUCAUGUAAAAUCCAACACAAAAGUAAGCUACUCUUAUUUGUUUAGGAAUUUUAUCUAGUUUAUCUUUUCUCAGAUCAGAAAGACAACCAUCAACCAAUGUAAGAUCACUGUAAGGGUCACAGCCCAAGGAACAACGUGGCCACAAUAACUCUCAUUUUUGAGAAAGAAUUCAAGGUAGUACUGCUCUUGGAUUUCCACGUGGUCGUACAGGCACCUAUCUCUAAGUCCAUUAAUGUAUUUGAAAUUAAUUGUCAGUACAGUGCUACAGCUCUUGUAAAGUACAAUUAGAUUUCUGUGGUUUAAUUGAUAUCUACCGCAGGUAUCUGGAAACAUCAGUUUAUGCACUAACAGUUCACUAUGCAGAUGAUCUGUUCAGCUCCAGUGACAAGAAUUUGUUGGGGGCAUUUGCAGGCUCCCAUUACAAAAGACAGGUCUCCAAGAUCUAAAAUGACACACUCCUAGCAAGUCAUCACAAAUACAGCAGUGUUCCCCAAUUGGAACUCAGAUAUCAUAAUCAUUUAUCAUGCAUAAACUUCCUACAAGGAGUUUCUCAAAAUUUUUCAAACUUGCCCAGGUCCCUCUGGAUGGCAACCCUUAUUUCUGUUCUAUGAACUGCACCACUCAGCUUAGCAAACUUGCUGAGAGUGUUCUUAAUCCUACUGUCUAGGUUGUUGAUAAAGAUGUUGAAAAGCACCGGUCCCAGGACAGACCCCUGGGGGACACCACUCAUCACCUGAAGCCAUUGACCCCAACCCUCUGGCUGACGCUGUACAACCAAUUCCUUAUCCACUGAAUAGUCCAGCCUUCAAGUCCAUAUCUCCCCAAUUUAGGGAUAAGGAUGGUGUGUGGGAUCGUAUCAAAUACUUUGCUGAAUUCCAGUUAGAUGAUACCAGUUUCUCCUCUUUCUUCUACUGAUGCCAACACUCCAUCGUAGAGGGCCACCAGAUCGGUCAGGUGUGAUCUGCCCAUGACAAGACCAUGUUCUUUGUCACAGAUCACCUUGCCUCACAUGUGUCUUAAGAUAGCUUCCAGGAGGUUCUAUUCCACCAUCUUAUUUUUCCCAUCCCUCACCAAAUGCAGUUCCAUCUGUGCCUUAUCUUUCCUGAUCCCAUCUCUUCAUGUCUAGAUGGAAUCCUGUAUUCUUUCCAGGCCACUCAUUCCUGAUUCCAUUAACUGUGAAUUUCCUUCUUAUUUCUCAUUUUGACCAGCAGGUCCUCACUCAAUCUUGCUGGUUUCCUCCCUCCUCUUCUUGAUUUCUUAUGCUGAGGGACAGAGAGCUCUUAUGUUGUCAGAAAGGUGUCCUUAUAGAGCUGCCAGCUCUGCUCUGCUCCACUGUCUCCGAGGACAGCUUCCCAGGGGAUCUCAUCCAGUAAUUCCUUAAACAGCUGGAAUAUCACUCUUCUGAAGUGCGGAGUCCUGUCUCUGUUCUUUGCCAUGCCCAUAUUCCUUGAGAUCACAAACAUAAUCAGAGCACUAUCACUACAGCUCACAGUACCUCUUAAUAUAUUUAAUGAUCUCCUUUGUAUGGUGAGUGUCUGGUCAGGUAAUGCUUCUCCUCUGGUUGGUUUGUCUGAUAGCUAGGCCAGGAAACUUCUCCGAAUGCACUCCAGGAGUUUGAAUUCCUCCAUCAAAAUGAAAGCCUGUGGACACAGUGCUUCUUGUAGCUGUAGCAAGAAGGUCUUCCAGUAGGCUCCAGGUAAGACAGUGCAGACAGAACUUUGCUUUGACCUGACUAGGUAUGGAAGUAAGUUGGUUCAAGAGCACUGCAUGGCCAUUUUUCUCAUUAAAGAUGAAGAAACCUUUAGGAAUUCCCUUUGAGACUGUUGCAUGUGGUCUCCGUUCGCUCAUCCGGUGUUCGUCCUCUGUCCACAUGUAGGGCUUACUGCUGGGCAAAACCGACCCUUUACCAGGUCGGGGCCAGAUGCUCACGCAGACCCCAGGAGUAAGUGAGGCAAAUGGCGUUAAUUGCUAUAGGCUACGUGUUUAAAUACAAGUGUUUCCUCCAAUCACGAAGCUACACUUGGCACACACAGGUGGCAUAACACACAGGUGGCAUAGGGAACCUGCACACGUCACACCUCGUUUCCCUCGCUACGCAUACAACAUCUCCCCCUCCCUAUGCCGAUAGCUCCCGUCACAUCGCGUUCGGAACCUACAACUGCUCCCUAAUUCUAUGAUAUUUUAUGUGUUCAUCCAUAAACUGAUUCAUUGUUCUCGAUAGACAAUCCUGAAAGCACUUGAUUAUACAUGGAAUGAUAGCUAAUAGACAGGCUAUGACAAGCAAGGCAAACAGUAGCGUCUUAACACCUUUCGCGAGCCACCUUCCUAGAUCACCAAACGUGCGCGUAAACCAGUCCCUUAUGGGAUCAUCUUCCACCCGUAUCUUCUCUGUAUGUUCCUUCAUGGCUUGGAGCGCCUUGUGAAUGGACUCACUGUGAUCGCUGAGAUUGAAGCAACACUGCGUGCCGGAUGCUGCUCGUAUCCUCCAGCAUCGCAUUCAAUAUUAAUGAUGUUAAAUUUGCUUGCUUAACCGACCAACAUGCCAAUCGUUCGAUCUCCUUUAAGGCCUGUGCUGCGGCUAUACCAGGAGCAAAGAAAGAAGCAAAUAUCCGGGCUGUCACACUCCAUAGCUGUAGCUCAUCACCGCAGCCAGGCGAGAGACGACUCAGCGAGCGCCUGCUACGGCAGUGACCCGUAAUGUUCGGCCCAUAUGUUAUCCAGGUGGUAAAGUUAGGAGAGAGCAUAGUCAAUUGUCCUAGAUAACAGGGCCCUCCCAAGGCAUUACGCGGGAUGCCUUGCCAAGCCCUGUCCCCACAAAUCAAGAAAAUACCUGGGGGGAGUGCCUUAGCAGUCCCAUUGUUCCACAACACCUCUGGCUGUUUCCCGAAGGUAAACCCAUAUGCAUAAUAAUUCCAUUCCGUCGUGCAAUUACCACCGCAACCUGUUGUGUUGCUGGAACAUUUUGUCCCGUUGCUGUACCCCGCUGACCAUUUUCCCCUUUUUGAACCACACCAAUUAGAAAGGUCCCCUCUAUAGUAACGAGUCUCGUUACUGGUGAAUCCACAAUAUCUACAACUUAUUGAAAAACUCUCUACAUUUAUUGGACUUACCAUCGUCCAUGAUUGGUUGACAUAGGGUCUUAUAAGAAGGUCAUCACUUUUCCAUUUUGCUAUGAAGUCACGCAAUUCUGCUUCUGCCCCACCAGUCCCAUUAAAAUUCCCAUCAAAAUUGUGACAGACUCUACUGCGAUUGUUCUCUUUAUAGCACACCGAACCAAAGGUAACACACGUACGUGUUGUUCCGUUCUUGAUCAUCUGGGACCCUAAAAUAUCCAAUUCUUGGGGGUCCCAAGGGAGGGUUGUAUUUAGAGCCUGUAUCAAGCAUGCUGUUUGGCUGGCUAAAUCGGCGUCGUUAUCGCAAGCAGUAACAUUAGUGACGUAUCCCUUGAAGGUGUUCAGAGGAUACUGUGGAAUGCCUAUCUGUUGCAAGAAAUCCCGCCCCAGAAGAGUUCCGGGGACACGCGCCACCAAUGGUGUAAGCAACGCCGGUUUCUCUAAGGAGCCAUCCCUGUUAAUCACAACCGCUUGUACCUCAUUGGUAGACCGGCGUGAGGGGGUCGCCCCUCCAACCCCCAAAAUAGACUGCGAGGCCUCCGCGGGCCACGAGGAUGGCCAUUCUGUUUCCGCGACCACAGUAACGUCGGCGCCGGAAUCUAUGAGGGCAGUGACAAAGAUAGAUCGAGGGCCUUGAAAAUCCAGCGGGAGGUUGGUGCAAGAAAUAGUGGCUUUCACCAGAGGGCGCUCAUGGGUACUUAGAGACAGCGCCGCCAUGGGUAAACUUAGGUCAGGGGCCUGCAUAGGUCGAAAAAUGAAGUCACCGUGCUCGGACUGUCUCCCGUUGUUAUUUCCCUGGCGUGGAGGCCUACGGGCCCUGCAUUGUGGUGCUGUAUGACCCCUCCGCCCGCACUGCUGACAUGUUACGCUUCCACCCGCACCCAUUCUGCACUGGGCCCUAAUGUGGCCCGCCUGACCACAUUUAAAGCAAGGUCCUAACUGUCGGUCCGCACUAUGAUGGUCCGCCUCCCUACAGGCCAUCAUCACUCCUGCUACCGCCGCAGCUACCUCCCCUGCCACAGACGGACAGGCCUUUUGCUUAUCUAGGACCUACUUGAUGGCCUCACCAGGGGUUUGGAGCCUCCCCGGCGCCACUCGCAAAAUCCCCUGCACCCCUUCACUGGACUUCUGAUACAAGCAAUCCAGGAUGACGGGACCGUGAACUGCUCUGGGCAGAUCCGAGCCUUCCACUGCCUUAAUUAGUCUGUCUGCAAACUCCUGAAACGGCUCUGUGGGGCCUUGCGCGAUCUCUGUCCACGGAGUAGUGGGCUCAGCACUCCUUGCAAGCUUUCGGAACGCGUCUAUUGCAGCGUCCGUAGUCGCUAUCAACUAUCCUGGUCUAAGUUGACAAACUUGUGCUUGAGGGGUCAGCAGACCUGGUGCAUUGCCCGUUAAUCUCUGUAUAUCGGACCCAUAUAUGGGGUUUCUUUGAUCACCCUGCGCCGUAAUCAGCAUUUGUUUUAAUUUGGUAUGCCACUCCUCUCUCCAGAGCGUAUACUGCACUGGUUUCAACACCAUGCGCAUUAAAUUUUCAAUAUCAUAAGGCAGCAUUGGGCCCGAUGCUGUGAGGGCCUCAAGGGCAUUCAUCGUCAAUGGCGAUUUCAGCCCUUUCUUUUCUACUGCCUCAAUCAUCCUUGCUACCCCCUUUGGGUCCAACGGGACCCAGACUGGGCCUCCCUCCUCUGAGACAACAACUGGGAGUGUAUAAGUUGCCGCCAGGCCUUUCUGUGCCACUUCCUCUUUGAUCUGCCCCCAAUCAGUAAGCUUAAGUCUCCCCUCCUCCUUUCCUUUUGGGGAUGGUCCCGCCCCCUGCUCCGAUGUCGUUGCCAAGGAAGGAUAUAACGGCUGCUUAGGGUAGGGCGGGGGCGGCGACAGCGCAAUAGAAUUAGGAGGGGCCGUCGGCGUCGUUGCACCCCCCCCGAGCCUCUGCGACUCUUCUUUGUCCUUCUCGCAAUCUUCCUCUCUCUCCGUCGCCGUUUUUUUUCGCUGUGGUCUGAGCGCCGGACCUGCAAAACUCCAAAGACCCGCUCCCCGAAGCUCCCUCCCCGCUCAUGACCGCGCCAAGUUUGUCCUCUUCCCUGGCCGCCUUAAGGGCUCCUAACAUCAGUCCCCACGUUUUAAGUUCCGUAGCCUUCUGACUGGCCAUGGCGCGCUGGCAUAGCGCCGAGGUGAGCAAGUCCCACCUACUCGAAUCCAAAAUGUGGCAGGGAGAGUCCAGCUCCCCCAGCUCAUUUAAUAGCGACAAAACUGUCGCGAUCUCCUUCCGGGAAGGAGUAGAUUUUCCACAGUAGUCCUUACAAAACUGCACAAGUACCUUAAUGACUUGGUCCAUUGUUACGCAUGCGACCUGCCGCCACCUCGCAGGCUCUUAACCGCAGUACGUCUUCCGUGCGCGACCUGCCGCCACCUCACAGGCUCUUCUCCGCGUCACGGGCACGCCGGGCAGCCACCCUCAGCAGACAGAUCACGUCGGGGUCACCACUUGUUGCAUGUGGUCUCCGUUCGCUCGUCCGGUGUUCGUCCUCUGUCCACGUGUAGGGCUUACUGCUGGGCAAAACCGACCCUUUACCAGGUCGGGGCCAGAUGCUCACGCAGACCCCAGGAGUAAGUGAGGCAAAUGGCGUUAAUUGCUAUAGGCUACGUGUUUAAAUACAAGUGUUUCCUCCAAUCACGAAGCUACACUUGGCACACACAGGUGGCAUAACACACAGGUGGCAUAGGGAACCUGCACGCGUCACACCUCGUUUCCCUCGCUACGCAUACAAC